rnacentral:rRNA from 1 species
UACGUAGGGUGCAAGCGUUGUCCGGAUUUACUGGGCGUAAAGGGAGCGUAGGCGGACUUUUAAGUGAGAUGUGAAAUACCCGGGCUCAACUUGGGUGCUGCAUUUCAAACUGGAAGUCUAGAGUGCAGGAGAGGAGAAUGGAAUUCCUAGUGUAGCGGUGAAAUGCGUAGAGAUUAGGAAGAACACCAGUGGCGAAGGCGAUUCUCUGGACUGUAACUGACGCUGAGGCUCGAAAGCGUGGGGAGCAAACAGG